AAUGAACGCUGGCGGCGCGCCUAAUACAUGCAAGUCGAGCGAGAAGACGUAGCAAUACGUUUGUAAAGCGGCGAACGGGUGAGGAAUACAUGGGUAACCUACCCCAGAGUGGGGAAUAACUAGCCGAAAGGUUAGCUAAUACCGCGUACGCUCCUUGGACUUCGGUUCAGGGAGGAAAGCGAUGCCGAGGGUAUCGCGCUCUUGGAUGGGCUCAUGUCCUAUCAGCUUGUUGGGAGGUAACGGCUCACCAAGGCUUCGACGGGUAGCUGGUCUGAGAGGACGAUCAGCCACACUGGCACUGCGACACGGGCCAGACUCCUACGGGAGGCAGCAGUAAGGAAUAUUGCGCAAUGGGCGAAAGCCUGACGCAGCGACGCCGCGUGGGGGAU
rnacentral:rRNA from 1 species